GGGAAGGGCAGGUCGGGCUCUGGGGCGAACCUCGGGCCUGGCCCUGUUUCCGAUGGCCCGGCCUAGAAAAGGUGGGGGUGGGGCGCCCUUGGUUCUGGAAGCCGGGGGUCCCUGCCCCCCCCCCGAGACACGCCCUUUUCCGAGAGCGUCCUGUCCGUGGCCCAUUUUGCAGAGGAGGAAACUGAGGUCCAGCCAAGAGGAGGCGUUUGCCCGAGUCUAGGACAGAGAAGGAAACCCGCGGGGAAAGUGACUUAUCCAAGGUCAUGCAAUGCGGGGCGCAGGAUUUGAACUCGGGUCCCACCCCUCUCCAGAAGCAGGCCCCAGGGCAAAGAUGUAGUCAGUCGGCCUCUUCUGAUGUACUGGGUCCAACGUGACUUGGAACACAUUUGCUCCUCGUUCUUGGAGCGGCGCGCGUCUCCACACGUUGCAUUCUGGCUUCAUGGGCACCCUGGUUUUCUAUCACCCGCGCUCCCUCGCCCCAGAGAGCCCUCCUUGGGAGAAGAAGAAACAAAAGCAGUUAACAAGGAGGGGGAAAGCAAAGCCGAGGCCCGCGCGGAAGGAAGAGGACGCUGCUUGCGGCCCAGCGGAGUUCCGAGACCGGGGUAGAAGGGAAUGUGUCAGUGUGCGGCCAGCCGCGGAACUGGCCGUCCGAGGUCCCUGAGGGACUCACGGGUACCCCCCCCCCCAAAUUAAGGAGACCCCUGGAGGAGCGUCUCCAGAAUAUUCGGCGGGGCACUCUGGAUCGGAAAACAUGGCUGCAGAAAGGGUUUAUUUUUAAUCAACAAACAUUAGGCACCAACUGUAUACCAAGCACUAAUUAGGCGUAAACUCAAGUGUGAGACUCCCACCUGCCCUGAGGAGUUUAUAACCUACUGGGGAUGGAACAGCUUGUUCUACGGUGAGGAAACGGAGGCACAGCGUGAGGUGACUUAUCCAAGGUCACACCGUUAGGACUUGCCUGAUGUUGGAAUUGGACUCGGGAAGGCCCCCUAGCUGCCCAAUAAAAACCCUCCCCUCUUCCCGUUGCUCUCCAGGGUGUCGUCCUCACCUCCCGGAUCCAGUGUUACAAAGGAUGCUUUUUCUAUCUUUGUAAAUACCUCAACUGUGUCCCCUCUCCCCCUCUGAUCCUGUC
rnacentral:lncRNA from 1 species